rnacentral:ncRNA from 2 species
GUAAGUCCGUCGGGGUGCUUAAAUUAAUUUUAGGCUGAGAGAUGAAAACAUCAACCCGGUGAACCUGAUCCGAAUAAUAUCGGCGUAGGGAACGGACACGACCUUAUG